rnacentral:rRNA from 1 species
GACGAACGCUGGCGGCGUGCUUAACACAUGCAAGUCGAACGGAAAGGCCCUGCUUUUGUGGGGUGCUCGAGUGGCGAACGGGUGAGUAACACGUGAGUAACCUGCCCUUGACUUUGGGAUAACUUCAGGAAACUGGGGCUAAUACCGGAUAGGAGCUCCUGCUGCAUGGUGGGGGUUGGAAAGUUUCGGCGGUUGGGGAUGGACUCGCGGCUUAUCAGCUUGUUGGUGGGGUAGUGGCUUACCAAGGCUUUGACGGGUAGCCGGCCUGAGAGGGUGACCGGCGACAUUGGGACUGAGAUACGGACCAGACUCGUACGGGAGGCAACAGGGGGGAAUAUGACACAAUGGGCGGAAGUCUGAUGCGGCAACGCCGCGUGCGGGAUGACGGCCUUCGGGUUGUAAACCGCAUUCGCCUGUGACGAAGCGUGAGUGACGGUAAUGGGUAAAGAAGCACCGGCUAACUACGUG